rnacentral:rRNA from 1 species
UACGGGGGGAGCAAGCGUUGUUCGGAUUUACUGGGCGUAAAGGGCGCGUAGGCGGCGCGGUAAGUCACUUGUGAAAUCUCUGAACUUAACUCGGAAAGGUCAACUGAUACUGCGGGGCUAGAGUGCGGAAGGGGCAACUGGAAUUCUCGGUGUAGCGGUGAAAUGCGUAGAUAUCGAGAGGAACACCUGCGGCGAAGGCGGGUUGCUGGGCCGACACUGACGCUGAGGCGCGAAAGCAUGGGGAGCGAACAGG